rnacentral:misc_RNA from 1 species
UUUCCGUAGGUGAACCAGCGGAAGGAUCAUUAUUGCAUAACCGAGGUGCGAGGUCUUUCGCUUAGACGAUACGUCUUGCACGGCCGAGGACCCUCACACACACCCAUCUGACGACGAAGUGCAACACCUCGGCGGUCCCGCUUUGGCGAUUUCGUAGGGGGUCUUACGGAUCUACACAAACUUUAUAUGCAGGGUAGGAUGUAUUUUGUGUUUUCAGGAGCACGCAAGCAAUACAACUUUCAACAUCGUAUCUCUGGUCUCUCUCAUUGAUGAAGAACG